rnacentral:rRNA from 1 species
AUCAACGCUGGCGGCGGCGCUUAACACAUGCAAGUCGAGCGAGAAAGUGGAGCAAUCCAUGAGUACAGCGGCGUACGGUGAGUGAACACGUGGGUAUCUACCCUCUUAGUGGGGAAUAACCCUGGGAAACGGGCGCUAAUACGCAUAAGCCUGGAAAGGGAAGCCCCACUAUUGUAAAGAAUGGUGGCCGCGGGAGAGGAUGCCGGCGCCCGCCGAUUAGCUAGUUGGUGAGGGUAAAGGCUCACCAAGGCGGUGAUCGGUAGGCGCCGGCCUGUAGAGGGCACACGGCCACACUGGCACUGAAACACGGGCGCCAGACUCCUAGCGGAGGCAGCAGUGGGGAAUCUUGCACAAUGGAGGCAACUCUGAUGCAGCGACCGCCGGCGUGAGCGAUGAAGCCCUUCGGGGUGUAAAGCUCUUUCGGCAGGGACGAUGAUGACGGUACCUGAAGAAGAAGCUGCGGCUAACUACGUGCCAGGCAGCCGCGGUAAUACGUAGGCAGCGAGCGUUGUUCGGAAAUUACUGGGCGUAAAGAGUGUGUAGGCGGUGGCCCUCUAAGUCGGUGUGAAUCUCCCGGCUUAAACUGGGAGGCGUGGUGCGCCGGAAACCGGAGUGCUUGAGCGUGGGCAGCAGGAAAUAGCGGAAUUCCUAGGUGUAGCGGUGAAUGCGUAGAUAUCAGGAGGAACACCUGUGGUGUAGGACGGCUUUCUGGACCAUAGCUGACGCUGAGACACGAAGCGUGGGUAGCAAACAGGAUUAGAUACCCUGGUAGUCCACGCCCUAAACAAUGCAUACAUGGUGUCGGCCAUUCAGUUGGUCGGUGCGCGGAGCUAACGCGUUAAGUAUGCCGCCUGGGGAGUACGGUCGCAAGGCUGAAACUCAAAGGAAUUGACGGGGGCCCGCACAAGCGGUGGAGCAUGUGGUUUAAUUCGACGCAACGCGAAGAACCUUACCUGGGCUCGAACGGCUGCAGACCAGGUGAUAGAAAUAUUGCCCUUCCCGCAAGGGGCUGUAGUCGAGGUGCUGCAUGGCUGUCGUCAGCCUCGUGUCGUGAGAUGUUGGGUUAAGUCCCGCAACGAGCGCAACCUUGGUCGCUGUGUUGCUAGACGCCGGCAAGCGUGCACUCGCAGGAGACCGCCAGCGAUAAGCUGGAGGAAGGUGGGGAUGACGUCAAGUCAUCAUGGCCUUUAUUGUCGCUAGGACUACACACAGUGCUACAAUGGACGGUACAAAGCGCCCCAGCCAACCCGCCCGAGGGGGAGCUAAUCGGCAAAAAACCGUUCUCAGUUCUGGAUUGCAGGCUGCAACUCGGCCUUGCCAUGAAGCUGGGAAUCGCUAGUAAUGGCAUAUCAGAACGAUGCCGCGAAUACGUUCGCCGGGCCUGUCUGCUACACACCGCCCAGUCACAUCACGAAAGUGGAUUGUACUAGAAGCCUGCGUGCCAACUCGCAAGAGGGGGCUAGCGGUCCAAGUAUGAUUUCAUGAUUGGGGUG